UGAUACUCGUCAACUGAAUACUCCGAAGAUCUGUACUCCAGUUCCUUCCAAAAUGGUAUGACAGACUGCAAAUUCAAGAAAAUGGCUUUUGCAAGAAUCAAAAUGGAAUUUAACAACAUUCAUGGAAAACCUGAUGCAAACAAAAAUUUACAACUCACUGCAUGACUUCUGUUUCACAUGGUAAGACGGUUAACUUAUCACCAAUCCGUAGCUCGACUUACUAGCACAUCAGAAGUGGCAUUGUCAUAACCAGUCCCGGCUGAAGCAAAGGAAACUCCAGUGGCGAAAUCUUCUAUGUCAUACUUCGGGUCCAGAUAUGCAGGUAUGGCUGGCUUGAUCCUGAGGGCUUCAGAAAUGAAGUCUGUUGCAAUCCUUCCAUUAGAAAAACGUCCUGUUGGCUGACCACCAUAGUAAUCCCUACCAUAUGGCUCGAAGUUGCUCUUUAGAACUGUAGAUACUUGGUUGUUGUUCCCUGGAUCCACCGUAGAAUCUCCGAAAACGAUAAUUGCAGGAACUGUUGCCCUUACUUUUGGUAUUUGCAUUAGGAGAUUAACAAAAAAGAACAGUGUAACAAGCUUGCAUGCCAUAUUUCAGUUUCAUUCCAACUUUCCUGGUUUGUAUCAUAAAUAGCAAAUAGGUGAUUGGUAAA